GUGUCUUCAUUGUCACCUCUGGAACCAGAAAAAUCACAGCUUAAGGAAGUUCAGGAAUGAUGCAGCUCUGGAUGUUGGAAAGGACAAUUCCGGCGUUUUACUCUUCUGACCAGUUUCUUCGUUUUCAUAACUCUACUUGAAGAACAUAUGAUGUUUGCCAGUGUCUGACAUUACGGACCUCACAGCUUACUGAAUCUGAAAACAGGAGAUAGAGAUGGAAAGGAAAGCCUCAGGAACUUGUUGCAAUAGGGACUGCCAGGUCCCGUUGCACUAUUGGUGGAAGAGAGGUCCACACGGUGCCUACGAUAAGCGAUUUGUUCGUAUCUAUCCAGACUGCAGGUGCAUACAGCCACUCAUCCUCAAAUGCCAUCCUCAGGAGUUUAUGCUGCACACAGACUGGCACAUGUGCAGGAAGACAUAGUGCAGGGCUACGUGCUACAACAUUGUUGGUGACAGCAACAUAUUGGAAGCAACCUGAAUUUUUGUUAAUAGAGGAUUGGCUACAUAAAUGAUGCUAAUCUAUACAACUGGAGUACUAUGAUGCCAUAAAAAAGAAUGUACAAGGUCUUUACGUUUGGAAAGAUCUCUAAGAUAUAAUGACCUGAACCUCAGGAGAUCUGGAGUAUGUGCUGAAUUCUACUGGGAACUGAGCCCUCUGAAUAUUAUUAUUGUUUUGCUAAUACUUUUUGCUGGAAAGUACAUCAAACCAGGAUGUGUUGUACCUCUUGCUUUGCCAGACUAUUUAAAAGCAAAAGUGACCAGAUAUCCAACUUAAGGCUGAUCCAGGUUUUUCAUGAUCUAGCCAGGGGAGACAAACCUUCCAGGAAAGUCUCUAGCGAAGGCCAAGGAUUUUAGAAAGUAUCUGUGAACAAAGAAAUGCAAUGUUAGUGGGCUAAUUUCCAUAAUCAAAUGAAGCUGAUGCAAGUGCUUUGUGAAUUGAUGCCCAUCAACGAGAGACUGGAUAAAGAAAAUGUGGCACAUAUACGCCAUGGAAUACUAUGUAGCCGUAAAAAUGAACAAGUUCAUGUCCUUUACAGGGACAUGGAUGAAGCUGGAAAUCAUCAUCCUCAGCCAAUUAACCCAGGAACAGAAAACCAAACACCACAUGUUCUCACUCAUAAGUGGGAGCUGAACAAUAAGAACACGUGAACACAGGGAGGGAAACAUCACAUAGCAGGGCCUGUUGGUGGGCCGGGGGCAAGGGAAGGGAGAGCAUUAGGACAAAUAUCUAAUGCAUGCGGGGCUUAAAACCUAGAUGACGGGUUGAUAGGUGCAGCAAACCACCAUGGCACACGUAUACCUGUGUAACAAACCUGCACAUUCUGCACAUGUAUCCCAGAACUUAAAAAAAAAAAGAAAUGCUUUGUGAAUUAGUCAGGUUCACUGAUGGGAGCUUUGGUCCUGGCACCUGAGGACUGAGCUGGGGGAACCCACACCCAGGCUGCCCAAACACACAGAGGCAGGAGAGGUCAAGGGGCAUCUCGUGGGUGUGGAGUUUUGGACACGGUAUUGCCAUUGUCAGACAUGUGGCUAAGCCUGCAAGGAUGAGAGAGGAAGGAGGAAACCAGCUCCUCUCAACCCUGCAUCAGCCUGAGUGCUUUCAAUCUCUCUCAACCCUUCUCCUCUCUUUUCUCUUUUCUCCUUCCCUCCUUCCCUGAUGGUUUGCCAGGAAGCACAGAAUAAUGGAGUUCAGUGUUACUCAAGGGGCAGUCACCUGCACAGUCAUUACCGGAAUGACGUGUUUCAUCAGAUGUUUCAAAUCCCGAUUCUUGGGGCCUGCUCUAAACCUGCCUACCAAGGCUCUAGGGGCGAGGCCUGGGGACCUGCAUUGUUUGCAAACACCCACAGGUGAUUCUUACAUGCACGAAGCCAGGGAAGCAUUGAUAGAAAAGGUCUUAGACCAGCAGCCAAAAAACCCAAGUUCAAAUCCAUUUACUACCUGGGUGGUCUUGGGCAAGUUACUUAUUAAUUCCCGGCAUGGGAGUCAAUACUACUUUAUAGGAAUUUUUUAUAAGUUAUAGGAGAUACGCUGUUAUGUUAUAGGAGUUAUUUUUUUCUCUUUGAAGAUUAAAAGAGACAAAACAUAUGACAAGGCUGGCAAACAUUGAGCUCUUGCUACAUAGUAGUACACAGUGCCCUAGAGAGUUAGCAAAGGGACGGUGAGCUCACAAAAAUCUUUGUAGGCCUCAGGAUAUAUAUAUUUUGCAGUGACUUUCAAGGCUGAUCUAACUCUCUUUGGAUGAACACAGAGCAAGGAGACUUGCCCACUGAGUGACUUUACUAUACCCCCAGGCCUUACUAACUUGCCCAGGAGUGGGGAAUAUAGUGCUAGAAGGAAGCCAAAGCAAUAAAGAGACACUUUCAGAAAAGCAGGCACUGCAAAGACAACCAUUCCAGCUGGAAGAGCAUGUGGUGGGAGUGGCGUCCUCUCAGACAUGAUCCUCUGCAGGGCUCAUGGGCUCAAAGUCACAGGUUCUCACCAAGGGUGAUGAUUUCCCACAGGGAGCAUCUAGCAACGUCUGGAGACAUUUUUGUCACAGGGUAGGGAAAGGGGGUUGCUACUAGCAUGCAGUGAACAGAGGCCAGAGAGGCUGCUAAACAUCCUACGGUACACUGGACAGUCUUCCACAACAGAAAACUGUCUGGCCCCAAAUGUUCAUGGUUUCAAGGCUGAAAAACACUGCUCUAAGCUAAUGCAGAAGACUUAGUCAUGGGUGAUAGAAGGAGGCCCCUAGGUGGCUACAAACCUCUGAGGGACAGCCUUCCGCUGUGGUGUUGCAAAGUCUCCCAGUUGCACAAGGUCCUGGCGUCCUGCUCAUUGGUGGAUCACCAUUAACCACCUUGCACGUCACAUGUUCAACAUAGCUAGUUUCCCACCCAUUCUUAACGAUGAUAAAUCAGGAAAAGCAUUCUUAGAACACUAGAAAAGCAGAAGUGUGGCUCUCUACAGGGCAGCGGGGAGGUUGCCUCACUCCUAGAAGAUGUCUUGUUUUUACCAAGAGGGUAGAGGGAUGAGAGGAGCUGGAAGACCACGCUGAGGAGCCACGUCCAGACACAUGAAACGAACCUCACAGCCCCACAAGGAUGCCGGGGAGGGCACUCAGUGCUUGGGAUCAGAGCCACGUGGCCACUGGUUUCCGAUGCCCCUUUGCUAGUAUCUGGCUUCCGUGAUUCCCUUGCCUUCAUUUUGUGGCUCUCUCCUGACACUGCCGGCUGAGUGUCUUAGUUAACCAGUAAUCUGGCUUUUCUCCCUCCACUUUGAUCUUCCUGUCUCUGCCUGUCUCCUCUUUCCUGGCAUGGCAUGUGCUCUCGGGCUGUACCUCUGGUAGUGAAUCUCUGGCUGCCCUGGACUCCUGCUGUGCACACUGCCCUGUGUGCAGGUCUGGAUGCCUGGUGUUCCUUCUCAGUGCACCGCCCGAUCCCCUGGGAUCUCUUCACCAUUUUCAUGCAUGGUGCCACCCCACGUGCAGGGCCAGCUUCAUGGCACGUCACCUGUGUGCUUGCAUAGGACUUGGUGCUCAGAAGGACUUCUUGAUGGGUUUCAUGCUCUGCGGCCACCGUAUUAAAAUUGUAAUAAUUUCCUCUUGAAACUUGUAUUUUGUAAGUGACUUCUGAUGAGACAGCAUGGAAUGAGCAGAAACACAGGAGAUACGUGUGCCUGUCCUUUCUUGUCACCCUAUUCACAUGGAGCAUUCGCCAUGAACUCAGAAUUCUGGUGUAUUCACAAUGUGUGGGAGUUCAUGAAGCUUCUAAGUGACUCCCAAGUGUGUUUUGUCUAUGAUGAGUUAGCUGGGGAGGGGGAGGGACACUGACAGCCCUGAGAGGCCACACUUUCCAUUUGAAAACCAAAACUUGCUUCAAACACAAAGGCAGCAGUGGUAUUCUAAGAAACACAUAUGACCAAGGAAACUUGGUUUGACCUUUCUUACUCAUGUUACUUCUUUGCAUUUGCAAACAACUUAAACUGAAAAUGAAGACACAGAAAGAAAUAGAAAGAUAAGGCAACCCAUAGGCCUUUUUUAAAUUCUUCCUUACUUGUCAGUAAGCCAAAGGUAGAGAGCAUUGAUAGAACGUGCAUGUAUCAGGCCGGGCACGGUGGAUUACGCCUGUAAUCCCAGCACUUUGGGAGGCCGAGGUGGUGGAUCACCUGAGGUCAGGAGUUUGAGACUAGCCUGGCCAACAUGGCAAAACCCUGUCUCUACUAAAAAUACAAAAAUUAGCAGGGUGUGGUGCCGGGUGCCUGUAAUCCCAGCUACUCGGGAGGCUGAAGCAUGAGAAUCAUUUGAACCCAGGAGGCAGAGGUUGCAGUGAACUGAGAUCAUGCCACUGCACUCCAGCCUGGGUGACAGAGAGGGACUCUGUCUCAAAAAAAAAAAAAAAGAAUGUGCAUUAUUGAGAAGCGAAAUAAAAGCAUUGAAUUAGUUUUGUGCAGCAUUUUCCACUGUUCUGGUAAGAAUGAAAUAUGCAAAUUGCAUCAUUUGGAACAAUUUAGCAUACAAAUUAAAUGCUCUUAUAUUUUCGUUUAAAGCUGGCUUUGCACAAUAUAAAGAUGAAUGGUAAGAUUCAUGCUAACAAUUUAAAAUUUUAAUUUUCCUUUACUUAGAGUGGCAUUAAAUAGCGAAUAAGAAUGAUUUUAAAAGCCUUGUGACAAGUCAAAAGAGAGACUGCAGAAGAAAAAAAGCGGCUUUUAUUUUAGUACCUUUCACAGCAGAGGUUGUUUUUGUUCCUGCUUUUGAAAAAGGGCUCCUACAUUUUCGGUUUGCACUGGCAAACCUUUUAAUGAAACAGUAAAGCAAAGUUCCUUACAUUAAAAAGGAGUCAUUUUUAAUCUCCCAGUCUACAUAGACCCAAUUUUCAUUUUAACAAGUUUC
rnacentral:lncRNA from 10 species